rnacentral:rRNA from 1 species
UACGGGGGGGGUAAGCGUUGUUCGGAAUUACUGGGCGUAAAGGGCUCGUAGGCGGCCAACUAAGUCAUACGUGAAAUCCCUCAGCUUAACUGGGGAACUGCGUCCGAUACUGGAAGGCUUGAAUCCGGGAGAGGGAUGUGGAAUUCCAGGUGUAGCGGUGAAAUGCGUAGAUAUCUGGAGGAACACCGGUGGCGAAGGCGACAUCCUGGACCGGUAUUGACGCUGAGGCGCGAAAGCCAGGGGAGCAAACGGG